rnacentral:rRNA from 1 species
UACGUAGGAGGCGAGCGUUGUCCGGAGUUACUGGGCGUAAAGAGCUCGUAGGUGGUUUGUCGCGUUGUUCGUGAAAACUCACAGCUUAACUGUGGGCGUGCGGGCGAUACGGGCAGACUUGAGUACUGCAGGGGAGACUGGAAUUCCUGGUGUAGCGGUGGAAUGCGCAGAUAUCAGGAGGAACACCGGUGGCGAAGGCGGGUCUCUGGGCAUUACCUGACGCUGAGGAGCGAAAGUGUGGGGAGCGAACAGG